rnacentral:rRNA from 1 species
GAUGAACGCUGGCGGCGUGCCUAAUACAUGCAAGUCGAGCGAACGGACGAGAAGCUUGCUUCUCUGAUGUUAGCGGCGGACGGGUGAGUAACACGUGGAUAACCUACCUAUAAGACUGGGAUAACUUCGGGAAACCGGAGCUAAUACCGGAUAAUAUUUUGAACCGCAUGGUUCAAAAGUAAAAGACGGUCUUGCUGUCACUUAUAGAUGGAUCCGCGCUGCAUUAGCUAGUUGGUAAGGUAACGGCUUACCAAGGCAACGAUGCAUAGCCGACCUGAGAGGGUGAUCGGCCACACUGGAACUGAGACACGGUCCAGACUCCUACGGGAGGCAGCAGUAGGGAAUCUUCCGCAAUGGGCGAAAGCCUGACGGAGCAACGCCGCGUGAGUGAUGAAGGUCUUCGGAUCGUAAAACUCUGUUAUUAGGGAAGAACAUAUGUGUAAGUAACUGUGCACAUCUUGACGGUACCUAAUCAGAAAGCCACGGCUAACUACGG